AGAUUGAACGCUGGCGGCAUGCCUUACACAUGCAAGUCGAACGGCAGCACGGGGGCAACCUGGCGGCGAGUGGCGAACGGGUGAGUAAUAUAUCGGAACGUACCCAAGAGUGGGGGAUAACGUAGCGAAAGUUACGCUAAUACCGCAUACGAUCUAAGGAUGAAAGCAGGGGACCGCAAGGCCUUGUGCUCCUGGAGCGGCCGAUAUCUGAUUAGCUAGUUGGUAGGGUAAAGGCUACCAAGGCUACGAUCAGUAGCUGGUCUGAGAGGACGACCAGCCACACUGGAACCUGAGACACGGUCCAGACUCCUACGGGAGGCAGCAGUGGGGAAUUUUGGACAAUGGGCGCAAGCCUGAUCCAGCAAUGCCGCGUGAGUGAAGAAGGCCUCGGUGUAAGCUCUUUGUCUAGGAAGAACGGUAGAGGACGUAAUAUCUUACUACUAAUAGACGUACCGUAGAAGAAGUAAGACGACCGGACUAACGUACGUACG
rnacentral:rRNA from 1 species